CACGCCGUAAACGAUGGGUGCUAGGUGUAGGAGGUAUCGACCCCUUCUGUGCCGUAGCUAACGCAAUAAGCACCCCGCCUGGGGAGUACGGCCGCAAGGUUGAAACUCAAAGGAAUUGAC
rnacentral:rRNA from 1 species